rnacentral:rRNA from 1 species
AGAACGAACGCUGGCGGCAUGCCUAAUACAUGCAAGUCGAACGAGACCUUCGGGUCUAGUGGCGCACGGGUGCGUAACGCGUGGGAACCUACCCUUGGGUUCGGAAUAACAGUUGGAAACGACUGCUAAUACCGGAUGAUGACGAAAGUCCAAAGAUUUAUCGCCCAGGGAUGAGCCCGCGUAGGAUUAGCUAGUUGGUGAGGUAAAGGCUCACCAAGGCUACGAUCCUUAGGCUGGUCUGAGAGGAUGAUCAGCCACACUGGGACUGAGACACGGCCCAGACCUCCUACGGGAGGCAGCAGUAGGGAAUAUUGGACAAUGGGGGACAACCCUGAUCCAGCAAUGCCGCGUGGAGUGAUGAAGGUCCUUAGGUUAGAAAGUCUCUUUAACCCGAGAUGAUAAUGACAGUAGUCGGGAA